UACGUAGGGACCAAGCGUUGUUCGGAUUUACUGGGCGUAAAGGGCGCGUAGGCGGCUUGACAAGUCACGUGUGAAAUCUCCGGGCUUAACUCGGAACGGCCAAGUGAAACUGUCAUGCUAGAGUGCAGAAGGGGCAAUCGGAAUUCUUGGUGUAGCGGUGAAAUGCGUAGAUAUCAAGAGGAACACCUGAGGUGAAGACGGGUUGCUGGGCUGACACUGACGCUGAGGCGCGAAAGCCAGGGGAGCAAACGGG
rnacentral:rRNA from 1 species